CAAGUGUCCUUGUGGAGGCACCCCGAAUCGAAGCCCCCUCCCUCUUCCCCAACCUUAGAACAGCUUCUCCCCCAGAGUUCUCUCUGUGAAGUUAACUUUUUGUUGCUUUAUCUCUUUGUCCUCCAUCUUCUUCAGAGGAGCAUUUAAGCCCCAUGAGGGCAGAAGCCUCAUCUCACUGAAUCCCAGUACUUGGAACCAUGCCUAGAACAUGUGGUGUCAAGAACCUGGAUACUGGCCAGGGUCAAGGUCUCACCAACAUUUGGGGACCUCCCCUAGCCCACCAGUUUUACCUGGAGCUCCGAGUCUCAGUCCUCCCAAGGUGAACGGGCAUCUUCCCUGGACACCAGGAGGAAAUGGGAAAGAAGAAAGCCCCCAUCUCCUGCCACUCCACCUCCUCAGGGUUCACAAGACCCACACACCAGACAGUGCACGUUCCUUUACCAAAAAGCUAGGACAUUUUCAGAGGGGAAUCACUACGAGGAGAAGCAAACGUUAAAUUUCACCUCUCCCAUGUUGCCCAAGGGCAGCAGCUGGGGGCCUUGACUUUCAUGACCUCAUGCUUGAGAUGUUUCCCUGACAGGUGGAGUGCAGUGGCACGAUCUCGGGUCACUACAACUUCUGCUUCCUGGUGUAGGAUAUAAUAAAUUCCUCUUCAAAGGUUUUAGCCUGUAAAUUGUUAAGUACAAUGAGUUCUGAGAUCCUCUCCAAAGAAUCAAUGUAUCAGUUAUGUUCAGCUCUUCAUUUUAAAGUUUUCGUCUCCUUGCCCCUAGUUCCAGUAAACAACCACCUCCUAGCCUCUAUCACCUGCUCCGUCCUGAGUCACUCCUGGUCACCUACUCUGACCUGAGUCAUCUUGAGUCACCUGUUCCCACCAAACUACUCACCCCGCCACUCUGACUUGUGUCCCUACUCUCUUUAAAGUAGCCAAUCGGAAUUAGCUUAGACUGUGCAGUCCAACCCUAGCCAAUAGGGGAAUGACACAGCAGUAGGGGCUACCUGCAUCAGGAAUAAGAACCCCUUCCCCUCCUUUAUUCAGGUGUCUCUUGCCAUUGCUCCAUCCACAAGUCGCACCCUUCUAUAGAAGUAAAAUUGCCUUGCUGAGAAAAUUAAAUUUAUGUUUGAGUGCUAUUUCUUUGGCACCACUGAAAAUUUAUUUAUAACACUGGGUUCAAGCUAUUCUCCUGUCUCAGUCUCCCACGUAGGUGGGAUUACAGGUGCCCGUCACCACAUCUGGCUAAUUUUUGCAUUUUUAGUAGAGACAGGGUUUCACCAUGUUGGCCAGGCUGGUCUUAAACUCCUGA
rnacentral:lncRNA from 1 species